GGGGGUGCACUGGAUUCGACGGGGAUGCGGCAGGGAGGCUGCAGGCGGAGUUGCGGCCACCUCCGAAAAACGGCCGAUGGCCAAUAAGUGCCAACACCUUUGCUUACGCCACUGCUUCUCUGAACUAAAGAGAGGCAUCUCUCACGAGGGCUCAGCCCGUCGGCCCACGUGAGGGACCGACUAGGCGGGCUGACCGCGCGCGCGGCCCCGGGGCGUGCGGGAAUCCCCAAAUGGGGCUCGGAUCAGCCGAUCCUGUUCGGUGGGAGCGGCUGAUCUCAAAACAAAACACCGAACUAAGCCUGUAGAAGCCAAACGAAAGCAUCUCCGGACGCGGGUUCGAUUCCCGCCACCUCCACCA
rnacentral:tmRNA from 1 species